UACGUAGGUGGCGAGCGUUGUCCGGAUUUACUGGGCGUAAAGAGCGCGCAGGCGGUCGUACAAGUCGCGUGUGAAAGCCCCUGGCUCAACUGGGGAGGGUCACGCGAUACUGUUCGACUUGAAGGCAGGAGAGGGAAGUGGAAUUCCCGGUGUAGUGGUGAAAUGCGUAGAUAUCGGGAGGAACACCAGUGGCGAAGGCGACUUCCUGGCCUGUUCUUGACGCUGAGGCACGAAGGUCAGGGGAGCAAACGGG
rnacentral:rRNA from 1 species